AGUUAUGUUUUUUUAUUUUGGUAUUUAAUAUAGAUAUUACUACCUCAUUUAGCGUAUCGUAUUUUUAUAUUUUGCAAAUAAUCAAUCAUAUCAUUUUGAUAAUACUCUAAAGGACCAAAUUAAUAUAAAUGGAUGGGUGUUACAUUUAGUUUUUUAUUUUUAUUUUUUGUUUGUUAAAACAUAUUUAGGAACACUUGACAACAUAUAUUAAAAUUAUUUAUGAACUUUUUAAAAUUACAUAAUCCAAAAUAUAUAUAGGGGAAAAUGUUGUUAGGAAGAUCUAUUAAUACUGAUGUGAAAAGAAAAAGAUCCAUUAAUAU
rnacentral:lncRNA from 1 species